AUAUGUAUAGAUCGUGUUUGGGGUGAGUUAAUUGACCCAUAAACAAAGAGCUUCAGUUUAUUAGAGUUAAUUCACUGUUCAUCUUCAACUCAACUUCGACUCUUUAAUAUAUCAAAAUUGCUCCCUGUUACAAUCCACUCCAUCACCUUUUCCUGAACCUUUCAAUCCAGAUCUGGCCUUUGGAGAGAAACUACCAGAGUCGGUAUAACGAAAAGCCACCAGCCGAGUCAGUGAAUCCCACUGAAGAGGAAGUGCAUCUUCUGCUUGUCAUUACAGCUCGGUGACGUUGCUGGUUUUAAUGACCUCCCCGAGCAGUCACCACAGCUAGGGGGUUAUACAAGCGCACGACUCUCCAGGAAAAGCCUUCCAUUAAUGGGAAGAGGAACAGAGGUACCCAGGCCGCUUCAGUUCAGCGGACAGAUGGGAGGCCAUUGUAAAUAUUUUGAUUGAUGGAGGGUGGGGUCAAGGCGUAAACCUUUGUUUUCCAUAUAAAUGGGGAAGGCGGGAAUCCAAUGCAGGAUGUUGGCUUGUUUUUGAUAGGCCUCCCAUUCCUUUGCAUGGCAGAAUGCAGGGACCCUGAAGGUUAGGGGAGGUUUCCAUGGAUCUAAAUGCGCUUAAGAAUGUUGCGAACAUAUUUGGUGUAUCUGACCUUGUUUUAUUGGAAAGUUCCUGCUGGUCUGAGAGGCAUAUCCUAUAGCGGAGAUGUCUUUGAGAAAGAUAUGGUCAUAUAUGAGUUUGCAAAGUAACAGUAUGAGUAAUGAUUCUUUUGUUUUUCCUAUGACAGAUUGAGCUGACCCAAGGGAUUGCCUUUUUUUUUUUUGACAAAUUAGACCUGACCAAUGUGUUUUUUAUCUUGAGAGUGUGACUUUUUUUUCUCUCCCAAGAGGCCACAACAAGCAGAAGAGUCCAAAGCAACAGAAAGUUGUUUGCCAAGAAGACUCAAGGAGCUUGAGAAGAGACAUGAAAAAACACAAAUUAGAUCAAGAAGAUGUGACACCGCCCAUCCCAUUCUGGAUGAAAAGGGUCCUGCGAGAGAGGAGAGUACAGCCAACCACAUGGCAGGGCAGGCGCGGUGUCCUGGGCUGGGGCCGUAUGGAAGGUCAGGGGGGUUGGCAAAUAGUGGCAGCCAGGAUUCUGAAGGAAACAGUGGGAGAAUGGGGCGGCUUGAGCCCGCUGGUCACCAGCCAACAUGCCCAACCUCGAGAGUUCGCUUUCCUCGACUCCGUCUCAAAGCACUCCAUGCCAAACGGUAUGCAGAACGGCUCAAUGUAGUUAUCUGGUUAGCGUAGUAAUGUUGAUGUUGCUGACAUCCCCCAUUCUGAGCUUAGUUAUGAAAAGUACAAUUGGCAUCAACAGGGCUUAUUUGUGACCGCAUAAUACAGUCUUAAUCUGAAAAAUGAAGUGUUCAAGAGAAGGUUUUCGCAGUGAUGUCAUAAAUGAAUCAUUCUGGGUUCCCUAAAGAACCAUUCACUGAACACUUCUUGUCAUCGUAUUUUUAAUAAACUAAAGAACCUUUUCCACUAUAAAGAACUUUUUUUUCUGAAAUGGAAAUGGACUACAGAUCUAAAAGCUCUUUAUGGAACCAUCAAUGCCAGUAAAGAACCUCUAUUUUUAAGAGUGCUUGCUGCUUAUUUUAUGAUUGUGUUCCAGAUAAUCAAUGCACACAAAUAUAUUUGUUUUAGUUUAAGUAUUGAAUACGA